ACUGCUUCCCGGGCGGAGCAGCGCAGCCAGCCGGUUGCGGGGGUGCUGGACCCACAAGAAGAAAAAAGAUAAACGAAUGUAUACCACAAGUCAGAACUUAUUCAGAAUGCUCCUGUUUUGUGUUAUUUCAAUUAACAGCAGCCACCACAGUGGUGCGUCAAGACCAAACCCCUCCGAGAUGCGCAAACUUUCUCUGAAGGGUCUAGUGGAUGCCUCCACUCAAAGCCGGACAUAGCAGAGGACAGCACUUUAGGUACAAAUGACUGUGCCUGAUGUAAAGCCAAUGUUGGAGUGCUCUACUGGACUGGGACUACAGCUGUCAGCUCCUUGCAAGACUGAGCACUGGAGUCAUGAAAAGCAACAACAACAAAGUCAACUCACCAUGCCUAACUCUGAACUCUGAAUUUAGGUUCUCACAUGGCGCAGACAGUCUCCCUGUGUCUUCAGUAGGGCAGGGAAACUCAUCCUCUUCCUCUUAACCAGUUACAUGGGGUAGGUGGAGAAACUCAUUCCCCUGCUCCAGCACUACACUCAGAUGCCCCUCAGCAGAAAGUAAUUAGUUCAACUAAUGUUCUCCAGGAAAAUGUGUUAGGUAGUGGAAUUAUCCUGUACUAGAUCUAGCUAACCAGCGUUUGCUCUUAAUAAAUAUACUGGUUAAUUAGGAAAAUAAAUACCUUCAACCGAAAUGGUGGUUAAAAUAUUUUAUUUUUUAUAUAAUAGAACAUACUGCUGUUUACUUUAAAUCACUUUAAAGGCACACAUUGUUAAAAAUACUUCAAAUUUACAUCACAUGUACAAAUGCAUAAAACAGAUGUACAUGUCACCAAAAAAAUACAAUAUGGCUUCAUAAGGUUGAGGUGGGGCUGGGACAAUUCAACAUAGACUUAAAUUUUACAGGAUGCUGCUAACACUGAAAGGAUUGACUAGAACAGAAAAGAAUGGACCUAAACCAUGGAUUAUGUUAUAUAAACAGUACAACACAUUGAAUACACAACAUCAAGAAUCUGUGUAUGGAUUAAUAGAAUUGUUAGUUCUGCAAAUCCAUCACUUUCCAGUGCCACUGAAUAAACAGUGCAUGCGUAUGAUCUGCCAAUUUGCAACAGUGGGAAGAUAAACUGCAAAUUCUCCAAGAAGUUCUCUGAAGAAUCAGCUGAUAUGGUUUGUUAAAAAAUAAAAUAAAACAAAAAAAUAAAAAGAUUGAAACAAUAGACUAAAGGUAGUGACUGGAGAGUAUAACUGAAUGACAAAUGGACACCUUAGAUGGUAAUCACUUUUGGCUAAAAAGCAUAAAACAAAGUCUACAAGAAUGCUCCAUGACAAUCAUUUAGCAUUAGUCCCACCCAAGAUUAAGGCUCCUAUCUAAAAUUUACCUUAGAUUUGUUUUCCUUUGUGUAAAAUUACCUGAGCACAGAUAUCAAAGAUCUACAGAACUUUUAAAAUAGCUGCAGAUACUUUAAAAAUCUGUAGAUAACUUAAAGCAAAAUAUCCAUAUAUUUAAUUCUACCAGCUAAAUAUUCUCAAGAAAAUAACCAACAGAACAACAUUUUGGUAUGUCAGUAAAGACAGGAGAAGAGUGAGCUUAAGCUUCUGCUUUCAUCUUUUAAAAAAUGUACAUAAAAUGUAAUAGAAUUAUUCAGAUAGUACUGCUUAAUUGUAAACAAUACAUUAAAUGUUUUUAAAAAACAGGAAUCAAAAUUUAGGCAGUCACUCUACUAUUCUAUAAAUUGUUUACAAAUGCUGCUUCUCCUCUUGCUAGAGAUGGCUGGUGGUUUCUUAAGCACUAAUAAAUAGAAAAUAAAAGGACCUGCCCCCACUGUUUUCUGUAUUAUCAUUUAUACUUUGUGUCCUAGAAGCAUGAAUUGCUGUCAUUCUCAUUUGCUAAGAUUUAUUCCCUGGACACCUGUAAGGCCCAGACCCAGAAGAGCACCUAGCAUCACCUUAAGAGCUCUGCAGAAUCGGGUUAGAUUCAGUAAGGUUUAAGAUAAACAUGCACUUUAAUCAUUUGCUGCACUGGAACUCAUACAGUUCUCAAAGAGCAAGCCAGAAAAGCAUCAGGUUGCAUGGACAGACCAGCUCCCAGCAAAAUCAAAGCCAUCACAGAGAGGAGCAUCAGGCCCUUAAAUUUCAAAGCUCAAAGAAGACUAUACUGUACAGAAGACAGAUGUACAUACUUUUAGCAAACAAGACUGUAGAAACUAUUUCCAACACAAGCCUUUGGAAAUAUACCCCUAUUAAAAGUGGUUUCUGGACUUUAUUGAACCAACUGAAAAACCACAAUGAAACACAAAACACAACAUCACCUUUUCCUCCUCCUGCCUCACAUAUUGGUUCCCAUCUUUCAUUCCCAAAAGAAA